CUUCCAGUAGGCGGUCAAUGAAUUCAAAUAAUGAGCCAGCUGUAUACGGGUAAUCUUUUAGGUGUUGCAGGGCCCAGGUUGCAAUGGUUUUCUCAAGCUCAUAUAGCAGAGAGGACCUCUUGUCUACCAUAGGUCUUUUAGUAAUUGGUGUUUUAUGUCCCUUUAUAUAUCCAAACAGUCUAGGGGCUUGUGGGCUUGUUGUUUAUUUUACUUUCCAUAUGUUUGAGAAGUCUUUGUGUUUCAGUAUUCUCUUGGCUUUGUUGUGUAUUGUGUCCGUCAGAUCAUACGGUAGCUGUUCUGAGUUUGACUGUGCUAUAAAUGAAAGCAAGAGGUUUGUGUAAUCUUCUUUUUUUACAAGGGCUAUCUUCUUUGUCUUGUCAUCCUUAGUUUAUAUAAUGGAGUUAUCUUCCAUCCAUUUUUUGGUAUAUGCGAUCUGCGCCUUAUAUGCGGUGCUUUAGUUUAUUAUAAAAAAAUAUAUACAAAUAUAUUUUUUUUAUAAUA
rnacentral:lncRNA from 1 species